rnacentral:rRNA from 1 species
AUGCAACAUCUGCUCGUGGAAUGCCCAUUCUCGCGACAAAUCUGGCAUGAAGUCCUAUCUUGGUGCCGGACGGCGAUUUCUUCACCUGUUGCUGAUGACAACUUCAUUGAGUAGUGGGCGGAUUCUCAUGGUGCGUCACCAAAUAACCAGCGGCAGGGCAUCUCAUCCAUAAUAAUGCUCACGACUUGGCUCCUCUAGAACGCACGGAAUGCUUGUAUUUUCCAUGCUAAGCAGCCAUCGAUCACGCGGCUUACCAACAACAUUCGUGAGGAGGCCAAGAACUGGGCUGCCGCUGGUGCAACCGGGUGCUUGUCGCCAGCCGUCGUGUAA